GCGGGCGGAAGGCAUCACUUUGUCCGGACUCUAAUUCAAAUUGUAUUCAUCCGAUCUUCACCAAACUUGGUCAGCAGUUGCAUCUAGUUGAUAUCUAGGCCAAGUUCGAAUAUGGGUCAUGCCGGGUCAAAAACUAGGUCAUAGGGUCAAUAAGUGCAUUUUCAAAGGGGCCACUUUGUCCGGACUCUAUUUCAAAUUGUAUUCAUCCGAUCUUCACCAAACUUGGUCAGCAGUUGUAUCUAGUUGAUAUCUAGGCCAAGUUCGAAUAUGGGUCAUGCCGGGUCAAAAACUAGGUCAUAGGGUCAAUUAGUGCAUUUUCAACGGCGCCACUUUGUCCGGACUCUAAUUCAAAUUGUAUUCAUCCGAUCUUCACCAAAUUUGGUCAGAAGUUGUGUCUAGAUGAUAUGUAGGUCAAGUUCAAAUAUGGGUCAUGCCGGGUCAAAAACUAGGUCACGAGGUUACUUAGUGCAUUUCAAGCAUUUAGCAUGGUGUCCGCUCUCUAAUUGAAGUAGUUUUCAUCUGAUCUUCACCUAAUUUGGUCAGAAGUUGUGUCUAGAUGAUAUGUAGGUCAAGUUCGAACAUGGGUCAUGCCGGGUCAAAAACGAGGUCACAUAGUGCAUUUCAAGCAUUAAGCAUGUUGUCCGCUCUUUAAUUGAAGUAGUUUUCAUCUGAUCUUCACCAAAUUUAGUCAGAUGUUACAUCUAAGUGAUAUCUAGGUCAAGUUCAAAUAUGGGUCAUGCCGGGUCAAUAACUAGGUCUUGAGGACACUUUCAAGCAUUGAGCAUGGUGUCCAAAACCUUCGAACGGGCGUAUCUUGUGACAGUUUGGCACUCUUGUUUAAUUUUAUUCUAGAUUUUUUUCUGGAGCUUUUAAGAUCCAAUUUUUACAUUUAUCAAUAUAAAGCAUUUAAUGACAAACUUCAAAAUAUGCCAGAAUCUGUGAAAAGGCCCCUUUAAUGUUCAUGUUCAAUAAUAUCUGAUGAGCAUUACAACAACCAUGAUUGGUGUUGUUUAUUGUAUGCUAGGCAUUCCUCAUAAAAUUUGUGUUGUUUUUAAAUUGAAAUGUUGCUCCCCUUAACAUAUUCUUUUCUGAUGAUGCCUGUUUGAGAAAGUUAAUUGAUGUUUUAUCUAUCAAGAUCAGUUCAUUGUGAAAAUUAUCUCUUCAGAAAACAGGUAAUAUAAUAUAUAUUUGGAUAUUCUUUGCUAUCAUUGUCUAUUAUUCCUUUAAG